rnacentral:hammerhead_ribozyme from 1 species
GCACUGAUGAAGAGUCCCACAAUGGGACGAAACGGCUGUUCAGUGC